UACAGAGGUCUCAAGCGUUGUUCGGAUUCAUUGGGCGUAAAGGGUGCGUAGGCGGCGCGGUAAGUCGGGUGUGAAAUCUCGGAGCUUAACUCCGAAACUGCAUUCGAUACUGCCGUGCUUGAGGACUGGAGAGGAGACUGGAAUUUACGGUGUAGCGGUGAAAUGCGCAGAUAUCAGGAGGAACACCGGUGGCGAAGGCGGGUUUCUGGGCAAUAACUGACGCUGAGGAGCGAAAGCGUGGGGAGCGAACAGG
rnacentral:rRNA from 1 species